rnacentral:tRNA from 1 species
GCCCUCAUAGCUCAGUCGGUAGAGCACACCCUUGGUAAGGGUGAGGUCACGGGUUCGAGUCUCGUUGAGGGCU